CUGCUUGUGGUCAACUAUCGUGCGCCACAAAUUAAGCUUAAACGAUUGGAAAACAGAAUAUUCAUAUAAAAAAAUAUGAAGAUUCCGAGCUUCAGAAGUUUCCUCUCUAGAUGGCGUCCUUUCGAUAUCCCAGAGAGAAAAAAUCCAUACAAAAAAAGAAAAAAAAGAAAGUUUUAGAGUAAAAAAAGAAAGUGUAAAAAAAAUCACUGAAGAGUGAUGCGUUCAGUAGAUAGCGUUUUGUCACUAUCGAAAAGCGAAAUGAUCGAGAUUAUUUCUCCUAUGCUCUGCACACAUGCUGAACUUCUGGGCGGUUCGGUGGCAGAGGCGGUAACGGCGCCGGUCUUCACAGGACCGGAGUUCAAAUUUCAUCCAGACCGCCUCCCCGUACGCAGGGCUGACUACUUUUCUACGGGUAAAAUCAAGUCACAGAAAUGGAAGGCGUUACAACUAGGUUUGUGAUGCCGUGUGAUACCUCCAAUUAUAGGAGCUUACAAAAUAGUGCGAAACAAAACGUUUGAGAGUGUUUAGAACUCUCUCAAGGAAUUCCUCCCGUUGUUAAAAGAGAUUUUUGCAUAUUUUAGAUCUCUUCCUCAAAACCUCCGUUCUUAUGGGAAUUGUGAAAAAGUUUUUUUUCAUGCGUGUGCGAUCGGAAACAUGUUUCAAGGACACACACAAACACGCAAAGGCUCAAACUCGCGCACACACUCGCACGUACACACAUGUGCGAAGGAUCAUGCCAAGAGGUUUGAUUAUUGCAAAUAUGCAUGUGUGCGGAGGAUAGGAGAAACAAUCUCGAUCAUUUAGCUUUUCGGUAGUGAAGAAACGCCAUCUAUUGAGCGUAUGACUGAAGCUCUGAAACUUUCUUUUUUUUUUGUGUGGAGUUUUUGUCUCUGGAAUAUCUAAAGGACGCCAUCUAGAGAGGAAACCUCUGAAGCUCGGAAUCUUGAUUUUUUGUAUGAACUUUUUGUGUCGGGGAUAACGAGAGGACGCCAUCUAGUGAUCUUUAGGAUUGUCCGGGGGGAAUCCUCCUUUUAUGUCCUAUUCCCGCUCUCUUCUCGGGGUCUUGCUUCCUUCUCGGUUUGGGGUUCUUCCUUCCUUCCUUCUUGGUGGUCUUGCUUCCUUCUUUCUCGGAGUCUUCCUUCCUUCGUGGUUUGGUAGUCUUCCUUUCUUCCUUCCUUCCUUCCAGGGGGUCCUCCGGGAGAUGGUUUCCUCGUCGUGGUCGGGACGAAAAUGGACUGUGGUACUUUUUUAACUUUAAAGAAUUUAUUGAUUUUAGCAAUACGGCCAGGCCGUUCUUUAUGAAUAAAAAAAAAUUGUUUUUUUUUUUUAAUCGUAAAGGACGGCCUGGCCGUAUUGCUUAAGAAUUAUUGAUAGAUGGCUUAGAAUGAACAUUAUUUACAUAUUUUGCUAGACGUAGCUAAAAAGCUUUUCAGAGCUGUUGUCAUGGUGUAUGCCAAGAGGCAGUGCUAUUGAUUAAUGAUUAAGUGUUAAAUGCACUAAGGCUAAUUGUUAUUUUAAACUUACAAACUAAUCAACAACUUAGGAAAUAAAUCAAACUACUAACCUUAAACUAUCUAACUGCCUUAUUCUAUAAAUAUCAGGUUUUUCACCGGCUGGUGUGUUGAAACCGCUGCUGAAGUCGGCAAUGAUGUUGUCUGUUAUCUCGUCGAAUGGUGCUGUGUUCGCUGCAUCGCUCCUCAAGCCGCGCCAGCUAGGAGCGUCCAGGAUGAGUCGAAGGAUUCUAUUGCAACUGGUUUGUAUCUUCCGCAGGUUCGUCCCUGCACUGGUACGCCAGACAGGAAUGCCGUACGUUGCUGUGGGCAGGACGAUCUGGUUGAAGAUGGCUAUCUUGUUGGAUGGGUGCAGCUUGGAAUGUCUGUUGAUAAGUGGUCGUUUAAGCUUAAUUUGUGGCCCUUGGAUCCAGCAGUCAGACUAACCGAUCGUGACAAUACGGUCACCAACCUAGAAUAAUAUGAGCAUUGAACUUGCAGGACAUCGUUCCUGUUGCUGAAACACAAGGUAUGAUAUGUGUGUCGAAGAAAUAUGCCUCGCGCUCACUGAAUAGGUUACAGGGACCCAUUGGGGUCCCUGAAUGGCAGAGGCAACAGCGGCGCCGACCUUCACACACCAAGACGAGAGUUCAAAUCCCAAUCGAUUCGUUUCUCCUUACUACGAUGACUGACUAUCCAACUACUUGAUAUUAACGUCUAGUAAGCAUAUUAAGAUGGCCGGCAUGACCAGCAGAUGGCAGCGAUGGUACGUUACUGCACAGACCUCUUGAGGUUGCAGUGCUAAGCUAGGAUUGUUUUAUCUUCGUAUAUACAUAAUUAAAAUAAGAGGAAAGCGGAUGCUGUUGUUUUAGUACGGGCGACAGCCAUUCUCUAAAAAAAAAAAA